GAAGAACGCUAUUUGUCUGUGGAGAGUUCUAAUACUUGCUUUCUGUGGAAUUAUAGAGUUAUAAAUUUUGUUCACAAUUUAACCCAGGUUGUCAUUAUAUGGGUAUACGAUCCAGAAAAUGCAAAUCCUGAUGAGUUGCUGUGGC